rnacentral:misc_RNA from 1 species
AACGCACAUUGCGCCCGCUAGUAUUCUGGCGGGCAUGCCUGUCCGAGCGUCAUUUCAACCAUCAAGCCCCAGGCUUGUGUUGGGGCCCUGCGGCCGUCCGCAGCCCCCGAAAAGCAGUGGCGGGCUCGCUAUCACACUGAGUGCAGUAGUAUCUCCUCGCUCUGGUCGUGUGGCGGGUGCCGGCCGUGAAACCCCCUACUUUUACAAAGGUUGACCUCGGAUCAGGUAGGAAUACCCGCUGAACUUAA